GAUGAACGCUGGCGGCGUGCCUAACACAUGCAAGUCGAACGGAGUCCAGCCUUUAAGACCUUCGGGUCAAAGAGGGGAAGACUGAGUGGCGGACGGGUGAGUAACACGUGGGCAACCUGGCUCAUAGAGGGGGAUAACAGAGAGAAAUUUCUGCUAAUACCGCAUAAGCACACACUGCCGCAUGGCAGAGGGUGAAAAGAGAAUCGCUAUGAGAUGGACCCGCGUCUGAUUAGCCAGUUGGCAGGGUAAGAGCCUACCAAAGCGACGAUCAGUAGCCGAUCUGAGAGGAUGAACGGCCACAUUGGGACUGAGACCCGGCCCAAACUCCUACGGGAGGCAGCAGUGGGGGAUAUUGCACAAUGGGGGGAACCCUGAUGCAGCGACGCCGCGUGAGUGAAGAAGUAUUUCGGUAUGUAAAGCUCUAUCAGCAGGGAAGAUAAUGACAGUACCUGAAUAAGAAGCCCCGGCUAACUACGUG
rnacentral:rRNA from 1 species